CAUUAGCCGAUUUCAUCGGACAGCCUAAUGAAGUGGGCACUAACUCUCUUCUUUUCGCAGAUGAGGAAACUGAGGCACACAGUGGUCCAGUCAUGUGCCAGCCAGUGGUGAAGCUAGGAGCCCCUUCACUAAGCACAGUGUUAUCUUGCUUCUCCUCCAACAUUGCUCAGAGUCUGAAAUUAAGCUUGAUGUAUUUAAGUCAGACACAAGAAAGGACUUCCAGACCAAGGAGUUUAGAUGCAGAAAUGGGAGGACGAAGCCAGGCCAAGGAUUCCUUUUCGUAUUUGGCAGAUGGAGAAACUGAGGCCUGAUGAGAAAAGAGAAUUCAACUGAGAGGUCUAAGGCAAAGUGAGAGACCACAGCAAGUUUCAAAGCAGGAGUGAAAGUUUAUUUAAAAGCUUUAGAGAAGGAGCCUGGGCAACAUGGCAAAACCUUGUCUCUACCAAAUAAUAAAAAUAAUAACACAAAAAUUAGCCAGUG